CCCUUCCCUCGUCCAGAUGGUCAGGAAAGUUGCACAAACCGUGCUGUUUAUACCCAAAUGCCCUCUUGUGUCACUCCCUUCCAAAUAAUUUAUAAUAAUUUGGCACACGGCAGCCACCUCCCGUUUCCUCCCAAUUCCGAAGAAGUUCUCAAACAGUCACAGCCCCGCGAGAAAUGGGAUGGUCAGAAUGACACCAAAAUACCUCAAGCUAUUUUUCCCAAAAUUCGGCCGUUCCUGCAAAUGGGCAUUCCAUCUGCAGGAACUCUUCCCCCCUCGAACAUCCACCGAGGUAAAGAAAGUUUCAAGUUGGAUAUUCGACGGAUAUUCGCGCUUUCAAACCACUUGAGCCAAAGACUCCAAAUAAGUGGCAAGAUGUUGGAAAAAUUGCGCACAACAUUAUUUUCACGAUUUGGACAUUAAUUCGCAUUCCAAAGCUAAUAAACAUGUGGAAAUGUGAGCACUAUUUGGUAUUCCUAGUCGAAUUAGUUAGGGAGCGUAAACAAAGUGCAAACUUUUUUACUUUCGAAUUUCAAUAGCUCCUUGUCUCAAACAAGUGUCAGAAUGUCCACUGGCUACCCUUCUGUAUUGCACACCCUUUGGUUUGUUCAUUUUCAUCUCACACGUUUUUACGUGAAUUGUUCAAACUUUAAAAUCGAAAUGGCUCCUUGGUCAUGUGACCUACUGACUUCAAACAAGGUUCAGAAUGUCCACUCGAAGACAAUGAGGCUGCAGGCCAGGUAUGUUUUUUUUCUCCAAAUGUUAAAGGAUUGUGAUAGUUUGUUUUCAGUUCAUGUUUAAGAGGACAAUAACUUUUCUAAAUGUGUUUCAUUUGCAUAUUGCAGGUCACAGCUCUGUGGCGAAGAAACAAUUGCGAGGUGGUGGUUGCUGAUGUGAGGUCUACAGACAAAAAAUCCUCUUUCCUUCUCCAACAUUCAGAGUUUAAAACUCUGCAGCCCCACAAAUGGCUUGUGGAUGAGACAAUCGAAUGGUACUUUCAAGCCACCACAAAAAGCUGUGGUCACGGUACAAAGAGUUACACCCUAAAUCAUUACUCAGCCCAAGUCAUUCUAAAUGGAGAAAGAAGUUCAGUGUGCAAGCAAAGUCUGCCCAAGUAUUUGCAUGAACCAUCAGGCCAAGUGUUCUUGGUUGACCCUGCUGGACAGAAAGAGAACGAGGAAUCGGAACACGCUGCAUUAAAAUUCAGAGAAUACUUCAAAAUGAGAAGAUCCUGCCAUGGAAAAGACGACUUGGUGGACAUAAAGUGGAAAGGAGGGGAAAUAACUCACAACAUGCAGGAGGACACCUUCAGCUGCGGGGUCUUUGUAAUGCAGUUGUGUGGGACAGCCAUAUGUUCAGUUCAUGCCUGUGAUGUCAGAGUUCAACAAAGCCAACAACUGCUUCAUGUGUGCCACUGAUAAAGAACCUGGAUGUGGCCCAAAGACUGGGUUAGUAACUUUAUUUAAAAUGUUUAUACUCUUUUGACAACAGUGACGGCAUGUAAGACAAUGUAUGAUAUAACACAAUGGAUGGCUAAUUCGUCAUAUUGCAUUGAUAUUUGAUAUUAUUUAUAACGUGUUAUGCUUUGUUUUGUUUUAGAUCGAAUAUUUUGCAUGCCAACGGUGGGUCCAUGUGCUGUGCCUAGGAAUGAAGACAAAAGAGUUCAACAGAGUAAAGAACACAAACUGGAAGUGCAGUCUUUGUUGUUGAAAAUCCACACUGAAGAGGCUCUGAAAUGUACAUCAACCAGGGAUAAAGAGAAAGUUAACACUGAAAUGUUUUGUACUUUGAAGAAAAGUGUCUGACAUGUUGGAAAAGAUUAAAGGUCUACAAUUUCCGUUUAAUUUGCCAAAAUAAAAUGUUUAUUCAUUGAUUUACUGGCCACCAUUACUGUGGUUACAUGUUCAUAUAUGUAUUGACCAGCAAACCCACUGCAGCCUACCUCACUAGCUCACUCUCCAUCCCUGCUUUGGACAAUUAUUAACAUGACUCUCGUACUUUGCCCUUUCCUUUAUGGUUGAUAUUAAUGAUGAAAGGAGAUAUUCUGUACAGCUGUUAAAUACUGAGGAGAAAUAAAUAAAAAAUAGGGAAAAUAAGUACUUAGAACUAUCAAUUAUUAAAGAUAAAUAUUAAAGAAAAGGGUAAACACAACACUGGACUGAAUCCCCUAAUUGUCAAACUAAUAUUAAUGAACAACAAUAUCGAAGAUACAUGACUAGAGGUUAUGCAAUAUGGGUGUAUAUCCACCACAUGCUUCCUAGGUGUCUAAUUGACCAAGGAGCUAUUGAAAUUUAAAACUAUGAAAAAUGUACUGCGUGAUUUUACAGUACACAAACAAGAGUGUGCAAUAUAUAAUGCUAGUCCGUAGACAUUCUAAAGUUUGAGUCUAGUAGGUCACAUGACCAAGGAGCAAUUGAAGUUUGAAAGUUUGAAAAAUGAAUGUAAAAUCGAGUGAGAUGAAAAUGGACAAACUAAAGGGUGUGCAAUGUGUAGGCUCACUGAGUGGACAUUCUGAACCUUGUUUGACGUCAGGUCACAUGACCAAGGAGCUAUUGAAAUUUGAAAGUUUGAAAAAUUCAUGGAAAAACAUGUGAGAUGAAAAUGGACAAACUAACGGGUGUGCAAUGGUAUCAAAAAUGGUAUAAAAAAAUCUGUAUACAAUCAACCUAUUCCAGACCAGUCUGCACGUUUUAAAGUUUGAAUGGCGUUUCUAUCAUUGAAAUGCAUUGGGAUUCAUGCACAUUUAUUUGUAGUGUGAAAAGUAUAAGUAGUAUCAAAACGUUUGACCAAAACGUUGAAAGCAACUUGGAGACAUUCUGCACCUUUUAAAGUUGCUUUAGUCUCGGUAGCAUUAGCUUUUUUUGCGCUAGAGGUUCCAGCAGAAGGCAAAUCAUAACUAUACUGAACAAAAAUAUAAACGCAACGUGUAAAGUGUUGGACCCAUGUUUCAUGAGCUGAAAUAAAAUAUCCCAGAAAUGUUCCAUGCACACAAAAAACGUAUUUCUCUCCAAUUUUGUGCACAAAUUUGUUUACAUCCCUGUUAGUGAAUGUUUAUCCUUUGCCAAGAUAAUUAUUCCACCUGACAGGUGUGGUAUAUCAAGAAGCUGAUUAAACACCAUGAUCAAUACUGUGCUGGUGACAAUAAAAGGCCACUCUAAAAUGUGCAGUUUUGUCACACAAUAAAAUGCCACAGAUGUCUCAAGUUUUGAGGGAGUGUGCAAUUGGCAUGCUGACUGCAGCAAUGUCCACCAGAACUGAUCCCAGAGAAUUGUAUGUUCAUUUCUCUACCAUAAGCCGCCUCCAACGUUGCUUUAGAGAAUUUUGUCAGUACGUCCAACUGGCCUCACAACCGCAGACCACAUGUAACAACGCUAGCUCAGGACCUCCACAUCCGGCUUCUUAACCUGCGGGAUCAUCUGAGACCAGCCACAUGAACAGCUGAUGAAACUGAGGAGUAUAUCUGUCUGUAAAAAAGCUAUUUUGUGGGGAAAAACUUAGGGCAGGGGCUGGGAUUAAAAAUAAAAUAAUAAAUUAAACAUGGCAGCAGCACAAAACAGGGUACAAACAUUAUUGGGCACAGACAACAGCACAAAGGGCAAGAAGGUAAAGACAACGAUACAUCACGCAAAGCAGCCACACCUGUCAGUAAGAGUGUCCAUGAUUGAGUCUUUGAAUGAAGAGAUUGAGAUAAAACUGUUCAGUUUGUGUAGUUGUGGCAGCUCGUUCCAGUUGCUAGCUGCAGCAAACUGAAAAGACGAGCGAUCCAAGGAUGUGUGUGCUUUGGGGACCUUUAACAGAAUGUGACUGGCAGAACGGGUGUUGUAUGUGAAGGAUGACGGCUACAGUAAAUAUCUCAGAUAGUGGGGAGUGAGGCCUAAAAGGGUGGUAUGGUAGCAACUGGUUAUAGUUGAAAAGUAGAUAGAUGGGACAAUUGAUUGAUUGAUUUAUUGAUAGGAUAGCCUGAACUUGUGAAAGUUAGUUUGGUGUCUUUAACUUGAAUGGUUCAAGAGUUGCUAUUGUUG
rnacentral:lncRNA from 13 species